UGGGGAAUAUUGGACAAUGGGGGCAACCCUGAUCCAGCCAUGCCGCGUGUGUGAAGAAGGCCUUUUGGUUGUAAAGCACUUUAAGCAGUGAAGAAGACUCCAUGGUUAAUACCCAUGGACGAUGACAUUAGCUGCAGAAUAAGCACCGGCUAACUCUGUGCCAGCCGCCGCGGUAAUACAGAGGGUGCAAGCGUUAAUCGGAAUUACUGGGCGUAAAGCGAGCGUAGGUGGCUUGAUAAGUCAGAUGUGAAAGCCCCGGGCUUAACCUGGGAACGGCAUCUGAUACUGUUAGGCUAGAGUAGGUGAGAGGAAGGUAGAAUUCCAGGUGUAGCGGUGAAAUGCGUAGAGAUCUGGAGGAAUACCGAUGGCGAAGGCAGCCUUCUGGCAUCAUACUGACACUGAGGUUCGAAAGCGUGGGUAGCAAACA
rnacentral:rRNA from 1 species